UGCCCCGCGAAACCUUGCCGGGCCUCCGGCGGCCACAGAAGUCCAGCACUCCCGCCUAGAGAGGACCCGGAAGAGGCGGGGCGCGAGCUCAGAAGCCGCUUCCGGCUUCAGCCCGGCCUGGAGGGCGGAGGGCGCCAGGGCGGGGCGUGGGCCCGAGAACUUGAGGAGCUGGGUUAAGAAAUGGGGAGGUGUGAGGGGGCUGCGCUGCGCGGGGUGGCGGACGGUGGCCGGAGGCCGCGGGGGGCGGGACAGGCGCUGGUCUGCGAGGCUGCACCCUCGCAGCUCUCUGCCCUGUGCCUGAGCUCUGGGCCUUUUCCGUCGUGAAAUACAGUCCUGGGGCUCCUGGGGAGCCUUAGCGCUGCGCGAGCCCUGGGGGCAGGGCGUAGAGUGCUUCGAGCCGUGGGGAGAUGCGAAGGGAACUCCAGCAGGGAAAGUGGGGAGUGCUUUCCCCUACAAAGGUGGGAAAGCAGGUGUGAGGCGCGAAGAAUCUUUUAAACUAAUAUUCUUUAAAUGUCUAUUUGGAGGAGAGGCCAAGUCUGUGGAGAAGGCUGAAAGGGGACCAACCAGCCCAAACUUGCUAGAAGAAACAGUUCAGCCCAGGAAGCAUUGCUAAUGAAGGCCCUAACAAGUCGCGGGAGAGGCUACCAGCCCCAGCCUUUGGACAGCAUGACACGGAGGGCUGCAACAAGGUGAACAGAAGAGUGGCUCCUGGGGAUAGGCUGAUUAUCAUUUCCCAGGCCCUCUGAGGACCCUGGGUUUCUUGGGGAGCUGGCCUUUAGAGGCUGUGUAUGUGGCAGACACAGUAGCGAGUUGGACCAUGAGCUCUUCAAGGGGAAGGAGGGGGGCUGAGCUCAGACUUGGCCACCAAGCCCCAAGGGCUCCCUGGACAGUUCUCCCCUACUCAGUAGCAGCUUGAGUGCCAGGACCAGUUGUAUUUGCAAGGCCAGGCAUGGGUCACUGGCCUAGAGAUGCUGAUGCCUGCUGCAGGCUCAGAUGUACCCUUACCUCAGCAUCUCUUAGGGACUUGGGAACUCCUUGACU
rnacentral:lncRNA from 1 species